UUAAUUGCCAUAUUCCAAGUGAUCAUAACCUUAAGCUAUGAUAUAUUUCUGUCACAAUACCUAGUAAUCUUAAACAUAUACUCAGAUUUCGAUUUGUCACUAUCCCCAAUUAUCUUAAACGUCAAACUUUAAUGCCACUAAGGCCACAGUCCUUAGUGGUCUUAAACCUUAGAUUAUAAUAUCAUUUCUGUUACAAUCUCAAGUGCUUAUAAACCAAGGCUCUGAUAGUUUUUCUAUCAUAAUUUCCCACUCACACUCAUCUGAACCUAAACCUUAGGAUACCUUAACCUUAAGCUCUGAUACCACUCUAUUACGCCCCGAACCCAGCACCCGAGUCCGGCACGCGACCGGCCGCAUGAGCCCUAGAGCAGUGCCCUAAAGAUCAUGCAAGGCCUAUGAUUAUCAAAAAUUCCAAUAAAUCCACAAUUAAUUUAGUAAUUCAAAUAGACAAAUCCAACAUGUCCACACCAGAUAAACAAAUUAGUUCAAUUACAAGAUCUUCAAAUGUUCAUCAACAUCAAAGAAAGAUAAACAAACCAACUAACUAAUGACUCGGGUACUCGCACUCUGCGCCCAUCCCGUCCAAAUCAAUGCAUCAUGUAACUCUGGUAAAGAAAAAGAAUAAGAGGGGGUGAGCUUUACAGCCCAGUUAAGAAUUUCUACACAUCCAUACCAACACAAUAAUAAUAUGAAUUCGAAAACCACGACAAAUCGAUGCGCAUUUCAUGAAAUCAUAAACAGUUUCCAUAAGACUCAAAUAAUCGAUAUAAUUAUGAACAUCAAGCAUCAAUAAAAGUCCAUAAUUAUACAUCAAACAUCAAUGAAAGUCUGGCCACAUAAGAAUGAUAUAGUAUAUAUAUAGCUUAUAAAUCACUAUGACUAUUUUCAAUGCUUUUUCUUCCUAUUCCAUGUUAACUUGAUCCG
rnacentral:lncRNA from 1 species